CCUACGGGAGGCAGCAGUGAGGAAUAUUGGUCAAUGGGCGUAAGCCUGAACCAGCCAAGUCGCGUGAGGGAUGAAGGUUCUAUGGAUCUUAAACCUCUUUUAUAAGGGAGUAAAGUGUGGGACGUGUCCUGUUUUGUAUGUAUCUUAUGAUUAAGGAUCGGCUAACUCCGUGCCAGCAGCCGCGGUAAUACGGAGGAUCCGAGCGUUAUCCGGGUUUAUUGGGUUUAACGGGCGCGUAGACGGCCUUUUAAGUCAGCGGUGAAAGUCUGUGGCUCAACCAUAGAAUUGCCGUUGAAACUGGAGAGCUUGAGUGUGUUAGAGGCAGGCGGAAUGCGUGGUGUAGCGGUGAAAUGCUUAGAUAUCACGCAGAACACCGGUGGCGAAGGCAGCCUGCCAAGCCAUGACUGACGCUGAUGCACGAAAGCGUGGGGAGCAAACAGGAUUAGAUACCCCAGUAGUC
rnacentral:rRNA from 1 species